rnacentral:rRNA from 1 species
UGGGGAAUAUUGCACAAUGGAGGGAACUCUGAUGCAGCGACGCCGCGUGAGUGAUGAAGGAAUUCGUUUCGUAAAACUCUGUUCUAUGUGAAGAAAAGGACUGUACCAUAGGAGAAAGCUCCGGCUAAAUACGUGCCAGCAGCCGCGGUAAUACGUAUGGAGCGAGCGUUGUCCGGAAUUAUUGGGCGUAAAGGGUGCGCAGGCGGCUUUACAAGUUGGAUGUGAAAUAUUGUGGCUCAACCACAAACGUGCAUCCAAAACUGCAAAGCUUGAGUUAAGGAGAGGUAAGUGGAAUUCCUGGUGUAGCGGUGGAAUGCGUAGAUAUCAGGAGGAAUACCGGUGGCGAAGGCGACUUACUGGACUUAAACUGACGCUCAGGCACGAAAGCGUGGGGAGCAAACAGG